CCAAGGUAUGUAUGGUAUGUAUCAUUGGUGUACUUGGUGAGGGUGGGCCCUGCCCUCAUUGAGGUUGCUGAUGAAGAUACUGAAUGAACUUGGACCCAGCACUGCCAGCA
rnacentral:pre_miRNA from 1 species